rnacentral:lncRNA from 1 species
AGAACUCUGGCCAUCAAUGUGUGGAACAUGUUGAUGACUUUCAGGAGGAUUUCCAUGAGGAAUAGACAUAUUUCUUUCAGAAGAAGAGUAAUCCACACCAGCAGUUAGAUGAGCAGCAACAUGCCUCCUCCCCUUGUUAAAUGUUGUACUUUGUAGAUACCCAUGAAUCUUGUAACACUUAUCAAUUAAGUGCCCAUAUUUCUUAUAGUAUCUACAGAAUAAAGAGUUUCUAGCUUGGUCAAAGUUAACUCUUUGUCUAAAAUGAGAAGAAUUAGGCACUGUGGCCUUAUUGAAUCCAGUUGAAUUUUUGUUUUUGUGGACAUUGAAAGACAUAGAGUCUGGAUUAAACUGAGAGAGGGACUGGAC